UACGUAGGGUGCGAGCGUUGUCCGGAAUUACUGGGCGUAAAGAGCUCGUAGGUGGUUUGUCGCGUUGUUCGUGAAAACUCACAGCUUAACUGUGGGCGUGCGGGCGAUACGGGCAGACUGGAGUACUGCAGGGGAGACUGGAAUUCCUGGUGUAGCGGUGGAAUGCGCAGAUAUCAGGAGGAACACCGGUGGCGAAGGCGGGUCUCUGGGCAGUAACUGACGCUGAGGCACGAAAGUGUGGGGAUCAAACAGG
rnacentral:rRNA from 1 species